ACAUCAAAUGAUCAACUUUAGUCUGUGCAGCAAUAUGUCUUAUCAGCGGUGGAAGAUGCAGACAGGGGUAAAGGCUCAGCCUGUCGCUUUGAAAGUGCAUGUUGGGAAUGUGCCAAAGAGGAACCAGAGGAUAUAUUGCCAUCUGUGUCAGAAUCUUGUAUAGAAGAGGAAAUGGGAGAGACAUACAAGGGGUCCCUGUUCCAUAGGAAGAUGAGAGCAUCACCCAGUGAAUGUUUCCCCAGGUGAGCCCUGGAACAGUAGUGAGGACAUUUCUUCUUCCAGGUGGGGUCUCCAGCAGAAGUAUGGCUGGUAAGAGGAAGACACUGGCUCUGCUAUCUCCUAAUACACUGCAGAGGGAGACAAACCUGGCUUAAAGGACUUGUGGAGAAAAAUGGCACUUGUUAACGUGGGUUCCAACUUAGAGCUUGUGUCAGGGCAAGAAGCCAAAGUGAAAUGCUCUGUUAAUCUAUAAAACAUAUAAGGCCUGGGCAACCUCAAAUUUUCCCCCAUCACUACAUUAAAGUGCCUCAGACUGACUUGAAGAAAUGGUGAGAGGAUACUGCAAUUCUACCCAAUCAGUCCAUGGCAUGCAUACAGAAAUUAUCAACAUGGGAGCUAACUACACCUCUACACCGAUAUAACGUGACCCGAUAUAACACGAAUUGGGAUAUAACGUGGUAAAGCAGCGCU